GCCAACUGUCCUUUAUUAUCCCAGAAUGUUUUGUAGAGAAACAAGAAGUUUCUCCUAGGGCCAUACAAAAUACUCCUUGUUUUAGAAAGAGACAAUCUAGAUCCCAUCUGUUUUGUAAGACUAUUUCUGUCAGAGAGCCUAGAGAAACCUCUAGUUUGGAGAUAGACCUUUUUAGCUUUCCUAAAUCUAUAUCUAUUUGAUGGCUGAGGGACUUAAAAAUUUUAGAGGCUGUGAUAAGAGCUGCAGUUCCUAAAGCAGUAGAUCUAGCUAUUCCCAAACCAGCAAGAAGGGGAACUAAAAUGGGGGCAGCCAGUCUAUGUUGAUGAAUCAGUGGGCCCUGGCCUUUUAAUAAGUCCCUUUACUCCAUCAAAAUAGUAGGUUACAUAGUUUAGAGUUAUUGACAGUUUGGAGAUUUAGGCAAGGAGUUCGAAGUAGGACCCAGGAAGCACAAUUUUUGGCGAACAGGGAGUUGUCCCACUUAUAAGUUGGGUUGUGGAAGCAAGUGUCUCUUUCUGGGAGAUCACCCAGGGUGAUCUUGGGAGUAGUUCCCCAGGUACAUCUUCCUGAGCUAGACAUAUUGGGGAACAUCUAUACUGACCAUAAUUUUUCCUCUAACGUCAGGGACCUCCUACUGCUGUAAGGAAAAAGGACAAUGACGUUCUUGCUACUUCGAUCUGAAAGGGGACAAUGUGCAGUGGGCAAGCAGUUUGGAGUCCCUUUUUAGAAACUGGGUCAAAGAGUUCAUGGUAAAAAUCUGGUUCAGGAAGAACAGGUUAUAAAUUCACCUAGGGGCGGGCACUUCUAUGAGAGAAACAAAAAGACAUGAGUAUUGAAACAAGACUAAUACAAAAUAGCAGUUGUAGCAUCUGAAAAACCUGCCCAUGAAUAUCAUGAAAAUGACAGAAAUUAAUAAUUGAUUACCAGGAGGCAGAAGACCUGAGAAAUUGUCCCCAUAACAAGACCUAACAAAGCCUAAUAAGGCCCUUUUUUAGGGAAUAUAAAUCUUUAACAUUGUCAGAAUUAUCAGGAAUGUAGACACAACAUUUAGUGAAGUUAGUUAAUGUCAUCUGAUUUUUGUAAAAUAUCUUUUUUGGCAUGACCUCUACAUUCAGUAGAGAUUUCUUUGUUACUUAGGGCUAGAUAAUUAUACUAGCAAAC
rnacentral:lncRNA from 1 species